GUGUGGCUCGUUAGCCAUGGUAGGCAAUUCACCUAGGAGAGCAAACUCCGAACAACAAACCCGGGCAGGUGUGGCUCGUUAGCCAUGGUAGGCAAUUCACCUAGGAGAGCAAACUCCGAACAACAAACCCGGGCAGGUGUGGCUCGUUAGCCGUGGUAGGCAAUUCACCUAGGAGAGCAAACUCCGAACAACAAACCCGGGCAGGUGGAGCUCGUUAGCCGUGGUAGGCAAUUCACCUAGGAGAGCAAACUCCGAACAACAAACCCGGGCAGGUGUGGCUCGUCAGCCGUGGCAGGCAGUUCAUCUAGGAGAGGGACAACUCCGAACAACAAACCCGGGCAGGUGGAGCUCGUCAGCCGUGGCAGGCAGUUCAUCUAGGAGAAGGACAACUCCGAACAAGAAACACGGGCAGGUGGAGCUCGUCAGCCGUGGCAGGCAGUUCAUCUAGGAGAGGGACAACUCCGAACAAGAAACACGGGCAGGUGGAGCUCGUCAGCCGUGGCAGGCAGUUCAUCUAGGAGAAGGACAACUCCGAACAAGAAACACGGGCAGGUGGAGCUCGUCAGCCGUGGCAGGCAGUUCAUCUAGGAGAGGGACAACUCCGAACAAGAAACACGGGCAGGUGGAGCUCGUCAGCCGUGGCAAGCAGUUCAUCUAGGAGAAGGACAACUCCGAACAAGAAACACGGGCAGGUGGAGCUCGUCAGCCGUGGCAGGCAGUCUGCCUAGGAGAGCAAACUCCGAACAAUAAACCCGGGCAGGUGGAGCUCGUUAGAUGUCGUAGACAUCCACGUGAUGGGAACACCAAAAUGAAAAUGAAAAGGAAAAGGAACACCAGAAUAAAGAAAAUGUAGAAAUGAGACAUCAAGAAAACAAAAUAAGAAACAGAUCAUCCACCUUUCGGCCCUAACUAACAUCACCAAAAUUAUGGAUGGGUCUCUUCUGGGGAGAAAGAGGCUCAUCCAGACCAAAGAACAUCAAUCAGGGAUGACAUAGAAAAGAUAAAAGAACAACAUGAAGAAAAGAAGAAAAAAACAUCAUCCACCUUUCGGCCCCAAGUAACAUCACAAAAUUAUGGGUGGGUCUUUUCUGGGGAGAAAAAGGCUCAUUCAGACCAAAGAACAUCAGAACGGAUGAUACAGAAAAGAUAAAAGACCAACAUCAGGAAAGAAGAAAAUACAUCAUCCACC